GAUGAACGCUGGCGGCGUGCCUAAUACAUGCAAGUCGAGCGAACGGACGAGAAGCUUGCUUCUCUGAUGUUAGCGGCGGACGGGUGAGUAACACGUGGAUAACCUACCUAUAAGACUGGGAUAACUUCGGGAAACCGGAGCUAAUACCGGAUGAUAUUUUGAACCGCAUGGUUCAAAAGUGAAAGACGGUCUUGCUGUCACUUAUAGAUGGAUCCGCGCUGCAUUAGCUAGUUGGUAAGGUAACGGCUUACCAAGGCAACGAUGCAUAGCCGACCCGAGAGGGUGAUCGGUCACACUGGAACUGAGACACGGUCCAGACUCCUACGGGAGGCAGCAGUAGGGAAUCUUCCGCAAUGGGCGAAAGCCUGACGGAGCAACGCCGCGUGAGUGAUGAAGGUCUUCGGAUCGUAAAACUCUGUUAUUAGGGAAGAACAUAUGUGUAAGUAACUGUGCACAUCUUGACGGUACCUAAUCAGAAAGCCACGGCUAACUACGUG
rnacentral:rRNA from 1 species